GAAUAUUGGACAAUGGGCGAAAGCCUGAUCCAGCGACGCCGCGUGGGUGAAGAAGGCCUGCGGGUUGUAAAGCCCUUUCGGUGGGGAAGAAAAGCCUCGACCUAAUACGUCGGGGUCUUGACGUAACCCAUAGAAGAAGCACCGGCUAACUCUGUGCCAGCAGCCGCGGUAAUACAGAGGGUGCGAGCGUUAAUCGGAAUUACUGGGCGUAAAGCGCGCGUAGGCGGCUUUGCAAGUCGGGUGUGAAAUCCCCGGGCUUAACCUGGGAACUGCAUUCGAGACUGCAUUGCUAGAGUAUGGGAGAGGGAAGUGGAAUUUCCGGUGUAGCGGUGAAAUGCGUAGAUAUCGGAAGGAACAUCAGUGGCGAAAGCGACUUCCUGGACCAAUACUGACGCUCAUGUGCGAAAGCGUGGGGAGCAAACAGG
rnacentral:rRNA from 1 species